rnacentral:snoRNA from 1 species
GUGAUUGAAAUUCCUUUAUGGUGAGAGGUGACCGAUUCACCCCUUGCUGA